rnacentral:rRNA from 1 species
UGGGCAACCUGCCCCUAGCUCUGGGAUAACUGCGGGAAACUGUAGCUAAUACCGGAUGUGACACGAGACUGCAUGGUCUUCGUGUGGAAAGAUUUAUCGGCUAGGGAUGGGCCCGCGGUCUAUCAGCUUGUUGGUGGGUAAUGGCUCACCAAGGCGGCGACGGAUAACCGGCCUGAGAGGGCGACCGGUCACACUGGGACUGAGACACGGCCCAGACUCCGUACGGGAGGCA